ACAAAGAAUUUUUCACAAAUUAAUGGGUCAAACAUGAUACAAUUAAGCUACACAGCUAGACCCAGACCCAGAAUUUUGACAUUAGCAUUAGCGGUCGUCGACCGCUAAUGUCAAAAUUUAAGAAAAGGAGUACAGCGCCCCAGUUACUGGGUCUACACUACAGCUAGAUCACGCGCAUCCUGCCUAUUCUCCAACACUGAUGACAGAUGCGCUGAUCUAGCCAUUGUAGCCAAAGUCGACGUUUCAGACACUAUUCUUUGAAUUAUUUUUUAUAGAGUUCCCAAAGAUGUCUUCAGACUCGGAUGAUGGACAAGAUAAGACUGGAACAGUGCAAGUUUUGGUGCAUUUUAAGGACCAUACAAGGAAGGGUGAAGUCAGGAAAGGGUCUUCGUCAAAGGAAACGACGGACAUGAUACUUAAGAUUUUCCAUGAUGUUCUGCCAAACCAUAGUGCAGAUAAACUUAUGGUCAAAUAUUUUGAUGAUGAAUGGGGGGAGUUUAUCGACCUCUCAGAGAAGCCGACACUGUUCUCAAAAACUAGAAUAAAAGUUGAACUGAAGACAGGAAAGAACUUUCCUUGUAAAGGAGCUGCGGCAUGCAAUGAUGAGGAUGACGACAAUUCUGAUGAGGACGUCCAGAAAGGGCCAAAACCGCUAUUGACGAUGCUUCAACGCAUACGUCGGAAGUUUAAGGCCGAACCAACAGCUUCAGCAAGCAGUGCAAAAAAGUAAAGCCCAACGGUCAAAAUUCAAGUAGGAUGGCUACAUAUGAAUAAGAAGGUGAAAGAAUAUACACAGGUGCGAUGCCAAAAAGGAGGAGGAGUCAGACAUUUAACGUGCGACCGCAAGGCAACCUAUAUCCAGCUGCUUGAGGGUUGUGUGCCACUUUUCUUCUCUGCAGGGGAAUCUUCAAAAGGGCAUCGCAGUAAGAUGGAAUUCAGCCUGGCCAACUUUCAAGGACAUGAAAUAGAGAAAGAGAGCUUUGACUUGAGCACUGUUUAUGGAGAAAAGGGAUCAAAGACAAGAAUAUACAUCAAAACUAAAGAAAUGCAGGAUUGCUCUACAAGUAGCUCAUCAAGCUUGGAAGAGGUUCCCUUUGACCUUGAACAGCAAGAAUCAUCUUUCUUUGAUUUGGAUACACCAACAGUUUCUUUCAAGAGAAAGAGGAUGGUUUUUGGCGAUGAUCAACCUUCAUGCAGUUUUGCCUUUCCUGGGACAUUACCAUCCUCACAGGACCAACACUGCAAAAUAUGUUACGACAGAGUGCAAGAUUCGUUCAUCAUCCCAUGUGGACAUAAGCUGUGUGCUGUGUGCGCUGUGGCCAUAGAGGAACAGAAGAAAGAGUGUCCCUUUUGCAAAGAUACUAUCUUAAAAAUCGGUGAAUUGUUUGGUUAGUAUUGGGGUAUAAACAGGACAUUACUCAGGUAUGAUCAUCAAUAGUAUUGGGUUGUUAAAAUAAGAUUACUCAGGUAUGAUCAUCAAUAGUAUUGGGGUGUUAAAAUAAGAUUACUCAGGUA